AACGAACGCUGGCGGCAUGCCUAAUACAUGCAAGUCGAACGAGACCGUCGGGUCUAGUGGCGCACGGGUGCGUAACGCGUGGGAAUCUGCCCUUCGGUUCGGAAUAACAGUUAGAAAUGACUGCUAAUACCGGAUAAUGACGUAAGUCCAAAGAUUUAUCGCCGAAGGAGGAGCCCGCGUAGGGUUAGCUUGUUGGUGAGGUAAAGGCCCACCAAGGCGACGAUCCUUAGCUGGUCUGAGAGGAUGAUCAGCCACACUGGGACUGAGACACGGCCCAGACUACUACGGGAGGCAGCAGUAGGGAACAUUGGACAAUGGGAGAAAGCCUGAUCCAGCAAUGCCGCGUGAGUGAUGAAGGCCUUAGGGUUGUAAAGCUCUUUUACCCGGGAUGAUAAUGACAGUACCGGGAGAAUAAGCUCCGGCUAACUCCGUGCCAGCAGCCGCCGUAA
rnacentral:rRNA from 1 species